rnacentral:rRNA from 1 species
AUGUUUGUCUUGAGGACCGGUGCUGCUACAAAUUCAGAGCAAUUAUAUAUCACAAAUGGUGAAGAAAAACCUGAUGAUACUAAGAAUGCCGUUGAGGAAAAUCAUGUCGAGAAAAAUAAUGCUGCGGAAAAUGAUGCCGAUCAGCACACGGAAAAUUUUAGUGACCAUGAGAAUCUUGGAAAUGCAGAUGAGCAGGGUUCUUCUUUUGAUAUAUAUGAUCCUAGAACUUGGAAUAUUCUUGACAAUAAAUCAAGAGAUAUUCUCAUUGAAAAAGGACCUAUAAGGGAAUACAAUCUUGUGUUUCCCGAAGAUGAAAUUAGUAGCAGGCAUUUUUCAUAUGAUUACUACACAAGAAAGUUAAGGAAUGGCGAGUUCAGUGAUCGGAGGUGGUUAGUGUACUCUAAACACGUGAAUAAAGUCUACUGCUUUUGUUGCAAAUUGUUUAAAUCCGGAAAAAGCAAAAGUCUGCUAGCAUCCGAGGGAUUGAAGGGUUGGAGACAUCUUAGUGAGAAGCUCAAAUUGCAUGAGAAUAGUGUUGAGCAUAUCACUAACAUGAAUACUUGGAAUGAGGUAAGGCUGAGGCUAAGUAAGAAGGAAACAAUUGAUAAAGACAUGCAACAAGAGAUUGCAAGGGAGAAGGAGCGAUGGAGACUUGUUUUAAUUAGAAUUGUUGCUGCUGUGAAAUUUCUUGCUAAACAUAGUCUGGCUUUUCGAGGAUCGAAUGAGAAAUUAUAUCAAGAUAACAACGGAAAUUUUUUGGGAGUAAUUGAAAUGAUGGCAGAAUUUGAUCCUUUAAUUUCCCUUCUUGGUCGCACUGUUAAAUAUUCUCUGUUGAGGAUAAUUAAGGAUGCAAGGUAUUUCUCUGUCAUCUUGGACUGUACACCUGACGUGAGCCAUCAAGAACAAAUGACUCUAAUUGUGAGGUGCGUAAACAUGUCAAGUACUACUACAAAAAUAGAGGAGUUUUUUCUGGAGUUCUUGAAGGUGGAUGAUACAUCCGGACUUGGACUUUAUAAUGUGUUAAUAGAUUCACUUAAAUCUGUUGGUUUGGAUGUUAAAGAUGUUCGUGGACAAGGGUAUGACAAUGGUUCGAACAUGAAGGGAAAACACCAAGGGGUACAGAGCAGACUACUUGAAACUAAUCCAAGAGCAUUAUUCAUGCCAUGCGCUUGUCAUAGCCUAAACCUUACUCUUAGUGAUAUGGCAAAAUCUUGCGGUAAAGCUGUUACCUUCUUUGGUUUAAGAAAAGCAUUACUGGAAUUGAAGAGAACUUCUACCGAUGACGCCAAGACUAAGAGCGACGCAAAAUCUUUGGCUAGCGCACUUGAGAAAUUUGAAUUUUUACUUGGCAUGGUCAUUUGGCAUGACAUUUUGUUCACUGUAAACAUGGUGAGUAAGAAGUUGCAGUAUAAGUUUGUGUGCAUUGAUGUUACUCUUAAACAGAUUGAAGGUGCCAUCUCAUAUUUUAAGAAGUACAGAAAUGACGGCUUUGCAACUAGUCUGGAUAUUGCGAGAUCUAUUGCAAUUGACAUGGGUGUACAACCUUUGUUUCCUGUCAAGAGACGUAUUACUAGAAAAAGACAGUUUGAUGAAAUUAGUGGCAAUGACGAAAAUAACCAGAAUGAAGAAACGCAAGCAAGUGAGGUGGAAUCAUUUAGAGAACUGAAGACAUUUGGGAGCAUAUUUGGUUUCUUGUUCAACUCGAAAGAGUUGAAGUCCUUGGGUGAUAAUGAUCUAAGAAGAUGUUGCACUAAUUUUGUCAACAAAUACACUCAUGAUAAGUCAGCAGAUGUCGAUCUAGAUGAUUUCGUUUCUGAACUAAAAGUACUGCAGAUGACAUUGCCAAACACAUUCAUGUCAGCGGAUCAGAUAUUUGAGUUUGUUAGAGAUGCGGAUUGUUAUCUAAAUGUCUCAAUUGCUUAUCGUAUCCUUUUGACCGUACCUGUGACUGUUGCAUCAGCUGAAAGGAGUUUCUCAAAAUUGAAACUAUUGAAAAAUUAUUUGAGGUCAACGAUGUCUCAAGAAAGAUUGAAUGGAUUGGCCAUGUGCUGCAUUGAGAAGAAUAUGCUGGAUAGUAUUGAUCUUGACACUCUCAUUGAUGAUUUUGCGUCAAAAAAUGCACGAAAGUCUCGUUUCACAUGA